GCGCAGGACUGCAGGCUGGGGCUCCGCUCCCCCGCGGGAGCCCGCGCGUGGUUCCCAGCGAAGUCCCCGCGCGGCUGGGCCCAGCGUGAGUAUUCUCCGCCCGCUGUCCUCCCCCUGGAGGCGGCAGCGCCCGUUUAUUUGAGGCUUCUAAUGUGAGGAAAAACACGGAAUGACAAGUGUGGGAAAGAGCAAGCACUAAAUUACUGUCAGAAAAAUAAACGGAGUAGCACAGUGCUGCUCGGUGAUUUACGGGGGCAAUUAGUCACCACCCCACGGCGCUGCUGAGGACAGCACAGCAGCAGACAAGUCAGGCCCACGAGGAAGAAGAGGCUUUGCACUGCUCUCCAGACAACUUUUCAAACAACAAGAGAGGAUAUUUGAGCACAUUAGGUUUUGUGUCUUCAUUCUGGCCAUGUGAAGAUGUGCUUGCUUCGCCUUCCAUCAUGACUGAAGUUUCCUGAGGCCUCCCCAGCUAUGCUCCCUAUACAGCCUGC
rnacentral:lncRNA from 1 species